rnacentral:rRNA from 1 species
GAAUUCGCCCUUAGAGUUUGAUCCUGGCUCAGGACGAACGCUGGCGGCGCGCCUAACACAUGCAAGUCGAACGAGCGAGAAAGAGCUUGCUUUCUCGAGCGAGUGGCGAACGGGUGAGUAACGCGUGAGGAACCUGCCUCAAAGAGGGGGACAACAGUUGGAAACGACUGCUAAUACCGCAUAAGCCCACGGGUCGGCAUCGACCAGAGGGAAAAGGAGCAAUCCGCUUUGAGAUGGCCUCGCGUCCGAUUAGCUAGUUGGUGAGGUAACGGCCCACCAAGGCGACGAUCGGUAGCCGGACUGAGAGGUUGAACGGCCACAUUGGGACUGAGACACGGCCCAGACUCCUACGGGAGGCAGCAGUGGGGAAUAUUGCACAAUGGGGGAAACCCUGAUGCAGCGACGCCGCGUGGAGGAAGAAGGUCUUCGGAUUGUAAACUCCUGUUGUUGAGGAAGAUAAUGACGGUACUCAACAAGGAAGUGACGGCUAACUACGUGCCAGCAGCCGCGGUAAAACGUAGGUCACAAGCGUUGUCCGGAAUUACUGGGUGUAAAGGGAGCGCAGGCGGGAAGACAAGUUGGAAGUGAAAUCCAUGGGCUCAACCCAUGAACUGCUUUCAAAACUGUUUUUCUUGAGUAGUGCAGAGGUAGGCGGAAUUCCCGGUGUAGCGGUGGAAUGCGUAGAUAUCGGGAGGAACACCAGUGGCGAAGGCGGCCUACUGGGCACCAACUGACGCUGAGGCUCGAAAGUGUGGGUAGCAAACAGGAUUAGAUACCCUGGUAGUCCACACCGUAAACGAUGAUUACUAGGUGUUGGAGGAUUGACCCCUUCAGUGCCGCAGUUAACACAAUAAGUAAUCCACCUGGGGAGUACGACCGCAAGGUUGAAACUCAAAGGAAUUGACGGGGGCCCGCACAAGCAGUGGAGUAUGUGGUUUAAUUCGACGCAACGCGAAGAACCUUACCAAGUCUUGACAUCCCUUGACGAUGCUGGAAACAGUAUUUCUCUUCGGAGCAAGGAGACAGGUGGUGCAUGGUUGUCGUCAGCUCGUGUCGUGAGAUGUUGGGUUAAGUCCCGCAACGAGCGCAACCCUUAUGGUCAGUUACUACGCAAGAGGACUCUGGCCAGACUGCCGUUGACAAAACGGAGGAAGGUGGGGAUGACGUCAAAUCAUCAUGCCCUUUAUGACUUGGGCUACACACGUACUACAAUGGCGUUAAACAAAGAGAAGCAAGACCGCGAGGUGGAGCAAAACUCAGAAACAACGUCCCAGUUCAGACUGCAGGCUGCAACUCGCCUGCACGAAGUCGGAAUUGCUAGUAAUCGUGGAUCAGCAUGCCACGGUGAAUACGUUCCCGGGCCUUGUACUCACCGCCCGUCA